UUGACCUCAAAUCAGGUAGGACUACCCGCUGAACUUAAGCAUAUCAAUAAGCGGAGGAAAAGAAACUAACAAGGAUUCCCCUAGUAACUGCGAGUGAAGCGGGAAAAGCUCAAAUUUGAAAUCUGGCAGUCUUUUUUUUCUUCUUUGGCUGUCCGAGUUGUAAUCUAGAGAAGUGCUUACCUGCACUGGACCAUGUAUAAGUCUCCUGGAAUGGAGCGUCACAGAGGGUGAGAAUCCCGUCUUUGACAUGGACUGCCAGUGUGUUGUGGUGUGCUCUCAAAGAGUCGAGUUGUUUGGGAAUGCAGCUCUAAAUGGGUGGUAAACUCCAUCU
rnacentral:rRNA from 1 species